GUGCACGUAUGCUAGAGAUACAUGUGCACACACAUGAGAUGUGUGCACAUAUGCUAUGUGUAUGCAUGUGUAUGUGCACAUAUGCUGGAGGCAUGCGUGUGUGUGCACAUAUGCUGGAGAGGUGCAUGUGUGCAUGUAUGCUGGAGGUGUGUGGGCACAUAUUCUGGAGAGGUGUGUGUGUAUGCGUGUGUGUGCACAUAUGCUGGAGAUGUGCAUGUGUGUGUGCGUGUGCACAUAUGCUGGAGAGGUGUGUGUGCUCACAUAUGCUGGAGAGGUGUGUGUGCGUGUGCACAUAUGCUGGAGAGGUGUGUGUGUGCUCACAUAUGCUAGAGAGGUGUGUGUGUGCUCACAUAUGCUAGAGAGGUGUGUGUGUGCUCACAUAUGCUGGAGAGUGUGUGUGCUCACAUAUGCUGGAGAGGUGUGUGUGUGCACAUAUGCUGGAGAUGUGUGUGUGUGCAUGUAUGCUGGAGAUGUGUGUGCGUGUGUGUGUGCGCACAUAUGCUGGAGGGGUGUGUGCACACAUAUGCUGGAGAUGUGUGAGUGUGUGCGUGUAUGUGUGUGUGCACACAUGCUGGAGAGGUGUGCAUGUGUGUGCACAUAUGCUGGAGAUGUGUGUGCGCACAUAUGCUGGAGAGGUGUGUGUGCGUGUGUGUGUGCACAUAUGCUGGAGGUGUGUGUGCACAUAUGCUGGAGGGGUGUGUGCGCGCACAUAUGCUGGAGAUGUGUGUGCCUACGUGUGUGUGCACAUAUGCUGGAGAGGUGUGUGUGUGCACGCGUACAUAUGCUGGAGAGGUGUGUGUGCGUGUGCACAUAUGCUGGAGAGGUGUGUGUGUGUACAUAUGCUGGAGAGGUGUGUGUGUGUACAUAUGCUGGAGAGGUGUGUGUGUACAUAUGCUGGAGAGGUGUGCGUGCAUGUGUACAUAUGCUGGAGAGGUGUGUGUGCAUGUGUACAUAUGCUGGAGAGGUGUGUGUGUGUGUACAUAUGCUGGAGAGGUGUGUGUGUGUGUACAUAUGCUGGAGAGGUGUGUGUGUGUACAUAUGCUGGAGAGGUGUGUGUGUGUGUACAUAUGCUGGAGAGGUGUGUGUGUGUGUGUACAUAUGCUGGAGAGGUGUGUGUGUAUGUACAUAUGCUGGAGAGGUGUGCAUGCAUGUGUACAUAUGCUGGAGACGUGUGUGUGCAUGUGUACAUAUGCUGGAGAGGUGUGUGUGUACAUAUGCUGGAGAGGUGUGUGUGUGUGUACAUAUGCUGGAGAGGUGUGUGUGCACAUAUGCUGGAGAGGUGUGUGUGUGUGUACAUAUGCUGGAGAGGUGUGUGUGUAUGUACAUAUGCUGGAGAGGUGUGCAUGCAUGUGUACAUAUGCUGGAGACGUGUGCGUGCAUGUGUACAUAUGCUGGAGAGGUGUGUGUGUGUACAUAUGCUGGAGAGGUGUGUGUGUGUGUACAUAUGCUGGAGAGGUGUGUGUGUAUGUACAUAUGCUGGAGAGGUGUGCAUGCA
rnacentral:lncRNA from 1 species